GACGGAGGAUGCAAGCGUUAUCCGGAAUGAUUGGGCGUAAAGCGUCCGCAGGUGGCAGUUCAAGUCUGCUGUCAAAGACCGGGGCUUAACUUCGGAAAGGCAGUGGAAACUGAACAGCUAGAGUAUGGUAGGGGCAGAGGGAAUUCCCGGUGUAGUGGUGGAAUGCGUAGAUAUCGGGAGGAACAUCAGUGGCGAAAGCGGCACCCUGGCAUUAGCCUGACGCUCAUGUGCGAAAGCGUGGGGAGCGAACGGG
rnacentral:rRNA from 1 species